rnacentral:rRNA from 1 species
AUUGAACGCUGGCGGCAGGCCUAACACAUGCAAGUCGAGCGAGCGGCGGACGGGUGAGUAAUGUAUAGGAAACUGCCCGAUGGAGGGGGAUAACUACUGGAAACGGUAGCUAAUAUCGCAUACCAUCGGAUGUGCCCAGAUGGGAUUGGCUAGUAGGGGGGGUAACGGCUCACGUAGGCGACGAUCCCUAGCGUGUCUGAGAGGAUGACCAGCCACACUGGAACUGAGACACGGUCCAGACUCCUACGGGAGGCAGCAGUGGGGAAUAUUGCACAAUGGGCGCAAGCCUGAUGCAGCCAUGCCGCGUGUAUGAAGAAGGCCUUCGGGUUGUAAAGUACUUUCAGCGGGGAGGCGUUACCCGCAGAAGAAGCACCGGCUAACUCCGUGCCAGCAGCCGCGGUAAUAC